rnacentral:rRNA from 1 species
UACGGGGGGAGCAAGCGUUGUUCGGAUUUACUGGGCGUAAAGGGCGCGUAGGCGGCCAGCACAAGUCAGUUGUGAAAUCUCCGAGCUUAACUCGGAACGGUCAACUGAUACUGCUCGGCUAGAGUGCGGAAGGGGCAACUGGAAUUCUUGGUGUAGCGGUGAAAUGCGUAGAUAUCAAGAGGAACACCUGCGGCGAAGGCGGGUUGCUGGGCCGACACUGACGCUGAGGCGCGAAAGCUAGGGGAGCGAACGGG